GUCCCCCCUCCCCCCCCCAAAAUUAUUUUUCAUUUUUGAAUUGCUUUUUUCAUUGAAAACCUAAAGGAAUGAAAAAUGUAAAUCAACUAAAUCCCUAACGCCCAAAAUUUAUCUCUAUUUUCUGGAUCAAUUACUCUGGUACUUCAUCGACUUCAUAUUCUUUUUGUAUUGACUGCAACUCGACAACGAUAUGUUAUUUCUCCAAUAAAUUAAUGAAGAACACCAAAGACAUUGAGGCGUUGUUGCAGCUGCAUAGAUGUUGUUUUUUUCUUCUUCUUCAUCGCCACUCGUUAAUGGAAUAGGAAUCACUGGGCACGCCUUUUCUUUUGAAACUGAAGAAGCCAAAAGUUAUGCCUUCGAGCUCAAGGUACUCGAGGCAAAUACUGUCCAUGAACGAGCUACAUAAACAUCAUGAAUGCCAUUUCAAAUUAUAAAGAUUACGAGGAUGCUCCUAUACUCAAGGUGAGAAAGAUCAAAAGUGCUAAAGUUGCUAUUGCUUAUCGUAGUUCGACUCUGCAAAUAUCAAGUACCAAAGCGGGAAGCAGAAAGACAGUGAAGAUACUUCAGAUAGACGACUCUGUGAGAACUCAAAGUUGUAGGCACAGACAACUUUGAACCUCAUUCAAGUGGUAAAAAGAAAACAUAUGGGGAAGCUGACAUUAAGUUAUUUGAAGGCUUUAAUCUGCUUCCAACUUUUUAUGUAUUCGGUUAGUGUUUGUGGUUCCAAUGACUAUCUUACUUUGCCUUGAAAUUAAAAAUAAUUGUUAUUGAAAAUGUAGGUCAUUUUUAUAUCAUCCUUGAACAAGUUUUAUACAAUGGGUAUCAUCUUCUAACUCC